UUAAGGGCGUAUGGGGAAUGCCUAGGCUCUCAGAGGCGAUGAAGGACGUGAUAAGCUGCGAAAAGCUACGGGGACAGGCACAUACUGAUUGAUCCGUAGAUAUCCGAAUGGGGCAACCCGGCAUAUUGAAGAUAUGUCACCACGUAAGUGGAGCGAACCCGGAGAACUGAAACAUCUAAGUACCCGGAGGAGAAGAAAACAAAAGUGAUUCCGUAAGUAGCGGCGAGCGAACGCGGAUUAGCCCAAACCAGUAUUGUUACGGCAAUACUGGGGUUGUAGGACCACGACAUUUGAUGCAUAAUGAACUAGAACAAGUUGGAAAGCUUGGCCAUAGACGGUGAUAGCCCGGUAUAAGUAAAGACAGUUACAGAUAGUAGUAUCCUGAGUAGUGCGGGGCACGUGAAACCCUGUAUGAAUUUGGCGGGACCAUCCGUUAAGGCUAAAUACUCCUGAGAGACCGAUAGUGAACCAGUACCGUGAGGGAAAGGUGAAAAGAACCCUGAAUAAGGGAGUGAAAUAGAACCUGAAACCAUACGCUUACAAGCGGUCGGAGCGAUAAGUGACGGCGUGCCUUUUGCAUAAUGAGCCUACGAGUUACUUUAACUAGCGAGGUUAAGGCCUUCAGGGCCGGAUCCGUAGCGAAAGCGAGUCUGAA
rnacentral:rRNA from 1 species